ncrna:Caenorhabditis briggsae microRNA cbr-mir-231 precursor
AUGUUGUUCUGUCUGUUUCCAUAGCUUAUAUUGUAAGGUACUUAUAAGCUCGUGAACAACAGGCAGGACAACUG